rnacentral:rRNA from 1 species
CGGAGGAAAAGAAACAACAGGGAUUGCCCUAGUAACGGCGAGUGAAGCGGCAACAGCUCAAAUUUGAAAUCUGGCUUCGGCCCGAGUUGUAAUUUGCAGAGGAAGCUUUAGGCGCGGCACCAACUGAGUCCCCUGGAACGGGGCGCCACAGAGGGUGAGAGCCCCGUAUAGUUGGACGCCUAGCCUGUGUAAAGCUCCUUCGACGAGUCGAGUAGUUUGGGAAUGCUGCUCAAAAUGGGAGGUAAAUUUCUUCUAAAGCUAAAUACCGGCCAGAGACCGAUAGCGCACAAGUAGAGUGAUCGAAAGAUGAAAAGCACUUUGAAAAGAGGGUUAAAUAGCACGUGAAAUUGUUGAAAGGGAAGCGCUUGUGACCAGACUUGCGCCCGGCUGAUCAUCCGGUGUUCUCACCGGUGCACUCUGCCGGGCUCAGGCCAGCAUCGGUUCUCGCGGGGGGAUAAAGGUCCUGGGAACGUAGCUCCUCCGGGAGUGUUAUAGCCCAGGGCGUCAUGCCCUCGCGGGGACCGAGGUUCGCGCAUCUGCAAGGAUGCUGGCGUAAUGGUCAUCAGCGACCCGUCUUGAAACACGGACCAAGGAGUCAAGGUUUUGCGCGAGUGUUUGGGUGUAAAACCCGCACGCGUAAUGAAAGUGAACGUAGGUGAGAGCUUCGGCGCAUCAUCGACCGAUCCUGAUGUUUUCGGAUGGAUUUGAGUAGGAGCGUUAAGCCUUGGACCCGAAAGAUGGUGAACUAUGCUUGGAUAGGGUGAAGCCAGAGGAAACUCUGGUGGAGGCUCGCAGCGGUUCUGACGUGCAAAUCGAUCGUCAAAUCUGAGCAUGGGGGCGAAAGACUAAUCGAACCAUCUAGUAGCUGGUUACCGCCGAAGUUUCCCUCAGGAUAGCAGUGUUGUUCUUCAGUUUUAUGAGGUAAAGCGAAUGAUUAGGGACUCGGGGGCGCUUUUUAGCCUUCAUCCAUUCUCAAACUUUAAAUAUGUAAAAAGCCCUUGUUACUUAAUUGAACGUGGGCAUUCG